ACGCCAGAAAACUACGAGCGCAAGCUUAAAACUCAAAGGAUUUGACGGUGCCCCAUCUACCUAGAGGAGCCUGUUCUGUAAUUGAUAAUCCCCGAUAUACCUCACCCUUUUUAGCUAAUCAGUCUGUAUACUUCCGUCGUAAGCCUAUCAUAUGAAUGCUCUAAUAGGCUAAAUAAUUUUAACAUUAAAACGUCAGGUCAAAGUGCAGCCAACAAAAGGGAAGAGAUGGGCUACAAUUUUUAAUUUAAAACAUACGAAAUAGCACUUGAAAAUUGCUAUGAAGGUGGAUUUAGAAGUAAAGU
rnacentral:rRNA from 1 species